UACGGGGGGGCAAGCGUUGUUCGGAAUUCCCGGGCGUAAAGGGCUCGUAGGCGGCCAACUAAGUCGGAUGUGAAAUCCCCAGGCUCAACCUGGGAACUGCAUCCGAUACUGGAUGGCUUGAAUUCGGGAGAGGGAUGCAGAAUUCCAGGUGUAGCGGUGAAAUGCGUAGAUAUCUGGAGGAAUACCGGUGGCGAAGGCGGCAUCCUGGACCGACAUUGACGCUGAUGAGCGAAAGCUAGGGGAGCAAACGGG
rnacentral:rRNA from 1 species